CAGCAGCCGCGGGAAUACAGAGGGUGCGAGCGUUAAUCGGAUUUACUGGGCGUAAAGCGUGCGUAGGCGGCUUCUUAAGUCGGAUGUGAAAUCCCUGAGCUUAACUUAGGAAUUGCAUUCGAUACUGGGAAGCUAGAGUAUGGAGAGGAUGGUAGAAUUCCAGGUGUAGCGGUGAAAUGCGUAGAGAUCUGGAGGAAUACCGAUGGCGAAGGCAGCCAUCUGGCCUAAUACUGACGCUGAGGUACGAAAGCAUGGGGAGCAAACAGGAUUAGAUACCCCCGUAGUCCCUGUCUCUUAUACA
rnacentral:rRNA from 1 species